rnacentral:tRNA from 1 species
GGGAGUGUAGCUCAGUGGUAGAGUACUUACCUAGUAUGUAUGAGGUUCUCAUGUCAAUCCCA